UUUGGACUUUUUUAAUUUACAAAAAUCCAUAAAGUGAAAAGCACUAUCCAAAUAUUGAAGUAAACAUAAAAGUUACAUAUUGUCAGACUUUCUCAUAAUUUUAGUUUGCUUUGCUUUGUAUUGUGGCAAUGGUUUAGAACCAUGAUACUCCAGACUUGCCAGAAGGUUCAUUAAAAGGAAAGCCGAAGACUUUAGUAAACCAUAAAAUUAACUUUUAUGUAUUGUACGAAAUUACAUGUUUUACCUUUUUUUUUUUUUUUUAGAUAAAGGUAAAAUAUGAAAUUUCGUAAUGCAUGAUGAUAAGCCAGUGUCAGAUGUCGACCACGAGCAAGCAGGAACAGUGAAGUACAAUCGCAAGUGAGUCUCUCAAUGAAAGUUCAAGUCUUUAUACUCCCGCUAUGACGAGUGGGCACGGGUACAACCCAGCAAACAUGGAUUCUUCAUGCAAAUAUUCCGCUACAAAUAUACUUUGAGUUUACCAAAGCUUACUGCCACUUUAUUUAUACCAGCAACACAGGCAAAUGAGAAAAUUUUGAAGCUGCAGUGUGGCACAAACACAAGUAAAACUUGCAGUGGUAUUUUUAACAUCCACGAACAAUUUAACUUCUGUAACAAGAUCAGCACCUUCAUGACAGACAUGGCUCUAAGGAACUGUACAUAAUUUUUUUGAAAGCAACUCAUUCUCCUGCAGCUAGCAAAAAAGUGCUUUUUUGUGUAAUAUGAACAGAAAUGGGCACUUUGAUACAUUUGUAAAAUUUGAACUUGUAAAUGUAUAGUUUUUAUGUUGGAAGAUAUAUCAUCACAUGCAGAAAUAAGGUUAAUAAGACGCUUGUUUGUGGUUUGUUUAUGUUGUGUAAAUGUGUUGAUUUUAGAAUGAUCUUGUUGAAUUUUUCUUACAUUAUACUGGAAAAUGAUCAUACAAAUAACUUCUUGAUUGUGUGAUCAAGUUUUUAUUAGAAAUUGGUAUCCAAUGGAUGCAUAUUUUCUUCUUGGCAAAAGACUUGUUAUAUCCAUAGUUUUAAUGUGAUAGUAUUUUUAUAUUUUCCCCUUUCUCUUCUAGAAAUUCAGGUAUUUACUUAAAAAUUAUAGCUAUAUAUCAGUUUCUGUAAGUUAAGCUGAAACUUUAAGCUAAAGUUAACUUUUUCUGAUAACAAAAGACCAAGUAUUUAAAUUUCAUGUUAAAAUUAAAUAUAAUUUUUUAACCAGUGAAUAGAAUUUUUCAUUGGUUAAUAAUCAUUGUAUAAAUAUAUUAUAAAGGCAUGAGAGUUUAGAAUGUUAUGUAAUUUAUUCUGCCAUCUUCAACUUCUUGGAAAAUGUUAUAUGCAUAUGUAUGUAAUUCAUUCUGAUGAGCAUUUAAUAUACUUAUACAUUUUAAAGGUUUUCCAGGAAGUUUCACCCUGUAGGGUGUAGUUCUAAAAUUGUUGUUACUCUGAAAAUUAACAUGAUCAGUUAAUUUUUGUCAUCCUAAAAUUAUGGUAAAUUUGUUUGCAGUUUUAAUCCAUUCCUGUUUAGAUACAAAAUUGCUAUUAAAUAAUAGUAUGACUGUAAUUAUAAAUAAAGCAACUGAAGUUAAGUAUCAAGUUAUUAUCAAAAUGUGUAUAAAUAAUAAUUGAUACUUUCUGUAAUUUGAAAUCAUAAACAUUAUUUUUCUUAUCUCAUUAUGAAAAUAUUUAAAAUUUUCUUUUAGAUUUGCUUGGUAAAUUGAUUUCGUAUUUGAAGAGGACAAAAAGAAUGAUUUUUAGUGAUUUUCUUUGAUUUUUAAAAUUAUUAAAAUAUUUUUCAUAUUUUUUUGACACUGAAUAACCACAUGUAUUUGCUUGUUAAGUCUAAGCUUGUGCAUGUCAUUUGUAAUCAGUCUCAUCGUAUUAAACAUAAAAUAUGUGCUUCUAUUCAUUUAAAAGGAGUAUGUUUGUCAUUUAUAUCACUUUUCCUACCUUUAGAUUUUUUUAGCAUGUACAUUUCAUCUUGUUACUCUGUCAUUAAGUUAUGACCAAUGUAAAAGCAAAUAUAUUUCUUCCAAACUUUAAUUUUUGAUAUGUAAGAUUUUCGUCAGCUUAGGUAACUUUUGCAUGUUAUUAGAUUUUUUUUGGUAGAGGAGUCGUGGACAAAAAAAAAAAAAAAAAAAAAAAAAAAAACAUAAUAGAAGAAAAAUAUUUUUUGUGUGUAUUUUGGUGAAUAAAUAUAAUAUUAAAAAGCAUGUAAGAAAUUUUAAGCAUCUGAGUUUCUAUGUAUUUGAGCUCCAUUAAAAUUAUUACCUUUAAAAACAAAUUAAUCUUACCUUCAAAUAUUUAAAAAUGCUCCCACUUAGGUAAUUUAUAUUGUCUGCUCAUUUAAGAUACAGCAACCAUUUUGUUAAUAAACUGGGCAUUAAUUGUAAAAAUGUUUCCUUAAAUGACAUUUUGUAAAUCCCUGCCUAAUUUACUUAUCAUUUAAUUUUUAUCACUUAAUUUAGUUCCCAAGCAAAAAUGGUUCAUAGAACAACUUAGCCUCCAUAAAUGAUUAAUGUAAUAGAUUACUCAGAGUUUAAAAUAAAUGUGAUUAGAAAGCCAGUUUGCAUUUCAAAUUUCCAUAAAAAAUUGUUCUUCGUGUUUAAUUUUUUAUUUUUGCAACCUUUUUGUGAUCUGUAACAAUUUUAUGCACAUAAAAGAGAGUCAAAUUUUAUUAUUUUAUUUUGGUUUCAGUAUAAAUCUAUAUCAUUAAUAAUAUAUUAAUUUGUAAAAAAGAACUGAAAGUAAAGUGAGUGAAAAGGCAGUGAAAUGAUUGUCUAUUCCAGAUGGUGGCACUUAAAAUUACAGAGGAAUAUUUGAUUGUAUGAAGAAUGUGGUAUUUUCUUUGUGACUGUAUUUAUCAGUUUUGUUAUUAUUUUUGAGUUACUUAUGUGAUUGAAGUACUCAUAUUGUUUUCACUGAAUUUCUCUAUACUUGAAAUGUAAUAUUAAAGCUCAAUGGCUUUAUCCUGGAAAAGUGUAAUUAUAAGUUGUUGUUGUUUAUCUGAUAAAUAUUUUUAAAAACAUGUGCUUGCUGCUGAUAAAGUAUGACUCAUUAAUCCUAAAAUUAGAGUGGAAAUUUUAGUUCCUGUUUUGAAGUUUCAAAUAAGUAUACUCCGAUCUUAUUUAUAGCGUGUGUUUCAAAUCCUAUGGAAACAAUGGUGCUCAGAAUGUUUUAUUUGUGUGUACCUUCAACAUUAUUUAUUUCAUUAUCAGAGAGUGCAUUUGUUAUGUUUGCAUAAGGGCGUGUACUUAUGUGUUUUUAAUUUUUUUAAUGCAGGCUUCCUGUUGUUUAAAUGGUAAUCUGCUUCAUUGCAGUUGUUUGGUAUAUUUAUUUACAGCACAGGUUUGUUUUGUAUAUCUGUGAUAGAUUCCUUUUUGAUGAAUUUUUUUUAAUAAAACAGUUGCAAUUAAUUAAACUUUGAGUGUGAAGAAAAGUAAAAUAGAUAAUUUCCUUUCAAUAAGUGGAAUUUUUUUUUUUUUUUAAAUUUAUGUUAGAUAUGUGUUUCAAUCAAAUUAAGCUCAAUAACUCAUUUAAGUAAGAAUUUUGCAUUAUAUUACAUGAGCUUAUUUAUUAAUCUUCAUUUAUUGUGCCAAAGAGAGCAGUGAUUCCCUGGCCCUUUAAAUACUGUAUUCAUUCCACAUACCAGAUUGAAUUGAAAAUUUAGGUGAUAAUUUUUUAAAUGUUAUUUCACCCUUAUAUUUUAGAUAUGUUAAUUGAUAUCUCAAAUUAUAUUAAUUUGAAGGCAUAUAUCUUAAAUAUUGUCCCCAUUAUGUUUCUUCAAAAAUUAUUUGAUUACCUUUCUUUUAAAUUUUAAGAUAAUUCAAGUUUUAAUUCAUGCAUUAGGGAUUUGUGAAAAAUCAUAAAAUAUAUAUGAUUUAUGUUCAUUCUUUACAAAAUAAUAGCAAGAAAAAUACUGGAAUUGUAUUCUGUUUUAUGUAUUAAAACUUAACUGUGUCAUCUGGAUUUUAUUUCUAAGGUUUUUCACCUACAGAACAAUAUAUUAAGAUUCCAAUUGUUGUUUUUUGAUAUAGAAGCACAAUAUUCAUAAUUUUAAGUAAUUAACAGCCGACAAUUACUGUGCACAAUCAAAGUUGUGAAUUCUCUGCUGAUGAUGAUGGUAUGUGUAAACAGCCAAGUAUGAAAGUGUAGACACAGUUGUAAAAAUUUUAUUUAUGCCAGAACUUUCAUUGGCAAUAUAUGUAUAUUAUGUAAAUAUUGUACAUUUAGUGUAACAUUGUUUGUUGUAGUUCAUCAUAAUCAUGAUAAUUCAUAAUAAAAGUUGGUUCAAAGGA